GUGCUCACUUUGGCAGCACAUACACUAAAAUUGAAACGAUACAGGGAAGAUUAGCAUGGCGCUAUGCAAGGAUGACACACAAAUUUGUGAAGCAUUUCAUAUAUAU